GUGCCUGUAGCUCAGCUUGGAUAGAGCGAUAACCUUCUAAGUUAUAGGUCGCAGGUUCAAAUCCUGUCAGGCACG
rnacentral:tRNA from 1 species